rnacentral:rRNA from 1 species
UACGUAUGGUGCAAGCGUUAUCCGGAUUUACUGGGUGUAAAGGGAGCGCAGGCGGCACGGCAAGCCUGAUGUGAAAGCCCGCGGCCCAACCGCGGGACUGCAUUGGGAACUACCGGGCUGGAGUGCCGGAGAGGUAGGCGGAAUUCCUAGUGUAGCGGUGAAAUGCGUAGAUAUUAGGAGGAACACCAGUGGCGAAGGCGGCCUACUGGACGGUGACUGACGCUGAGGCUCGAAAGCGUGAGGAGCAAACAGG